ACAAACACACACACACAUGCAUGCACGCACAAAGCUGGGGGAGGUGGAGGCAGCAGGGCUUGCUUCGCUGGCUGUCCAUUGAUCAGUGAAGAGGUUGGUAGACUUAAAAGAUCCGUGUAGAGACUGGUGGAGAGCAGAGAGAGAGAGGGAAGGAUGCAGCGAGCAGAGACAGAGAGAAACAGCCAAGGAGAGCUGCACAGGGGGAACACCUCGAGAGCGAGAGAGAGAUAGAUAGGAAGGAGAAGAAGAAAGUGAGUGAAGAGGUAGAGAUGAGGAGGAGAAGAAGACUAACAGAGGCAGAUGACUGCGUCUGAGCGAAGGGGAGGGGUGGUGGGGGUUGCCCCGGGCUUUAACAGUCUGGAUGGAGCUCAUAGGCCUCCUGUCAGACUGUCAAACAGAAGAGUCGACUCUCCAGAGAAAAGGAGGCGUGAAGUCUUCCAGUGUCCAUCUGUGGCAGUCAAGAUGGACACCGACAACCAGUCUGAGCGGGCUCAGUCGGCCAUCUUGUUUUCAGCGUGGGUGCAGAGGAACUGUGUGAUGCUUAAAAAGCAAAAAAAAAAAAAAAAAAAAAGCGAGACAAAGAAGGAACUUUAACUCUUUUCCCACAUGUACCUGAACCAUUGUUCUUUCAGACACAGCAACCCCUAUAGCCAAAUGCUAACAUACGUUCAAUAUUUAAAAUACAGACGUAUCUGCUGUGAUGUCAUUCACUGGUUUGUGAAACCCCUUUUCGAAGGUUCAACUUUAGCUUCAAGGCUGACACCAUUUCAUUUUUGUGUACCUAGCAGUAAUGAAAAUAAGAUAAGAAGAUGGAGUGCUAAGUUAGCAAAAUAUAUCUAUAAAACUGCUAAUCAGUACUAAGUAACAGACUAAUAAAGAGCUAGAAUUUCACCCACCAACACUAGAGCCAGCUUCGUGGAUGGUCUGUUAGCAGAAUUUAACAAUAUAUAAAAAAGCAUCAACGGCCCAAACAGGUUAAGAGGCCCAGUUUUGAUGCAGAUUAACUAAAGUGAAGCCUAGCAUAGAACUAGCAGCUACAGCUACAUGUAGCAAUUAAUUUCUGCUGAUGUGACCUCUAAACACUUUGAUGCUUAGAUCGUAUUUUGCAUUUCAGAAUUGAGUUUUAUUCAGGCUGUGCUCAUUUGCUAAGAGAUUGAGAUUUGUUAGCCAAUAAGCAAGCAGUUUCACAGCGAGUCCCAUCCCGUUUCGCCACAAGAUGGAGACGGUAAAAAUACUCAUCUUGAGGCUUCAACGCGGGACUUUAGAAACCAGUACUUGGCAUCACAGUGGCUACAUCCAUCUUUUAUACUAUCUAUCACCGGCUUCCACCUGUCAGUCAAAAAUGAGCAAAAACUUCCAAAAGUGCUUUUGUCCCAAGGUAUAAACACGUUAAUUUCUUCUGUACAGUUGGGCAUUGUAAAAUAGAAGUCAAUAGGUACUGACUUCCUUUAGUAGAUUUCAACAUGAAGGACGUUAUACAGAUGUCAAUAAUUUACCAUGUAAAGUAGAACUUGCUAAAUAGGAAAUGCUGCUGCUUGAUGAAAUGUCAAAUCUAUAGGAUUCAUCCUAAAGGGAACUAUGAAUUUUUGCGCUAGACAGUUUGCACGUUUGACAGUCAAUACUCACUUUAGAAUAUAGUGAAUCAGGCCCCGGUCACUCAGGUCUAGAGACCAGUCAGUGACCAUCUGGCAACCUACAGUUGCAAAGCAAACUUUACAGCAGUCGCUGGGAAAUUGAUUGCUAAAGUCCCCAGUAACGCAGGCCUACAGACCAACGGUCGCUAGAAAACAAUGUGUAUUCCCCAGCUGUUUGGCAAAAGCUUGUGACUGCUCUGGCCCCUAGCACAUUAAGGCAGUUAUAGUUUGAAUGGAAGUGAUGGACUUACAAACACUGGCCAGCUGCUCUCCAACCUGUAGCAGAAGUGUGAAAAAAAAAGUGCAACAAAAACCUUAAAUGAAGACCGUCUGCCUUCAAAGUAAAAGUUGGCAGACCUUCUGCAUUUUCAGUUUGCAUCUUGCUUUUUUGAGUUUUUCUACCGCUCAGGCUAAUAGUUAGCCAGUAUGUGCAGACAAAAGUCGGAAAAACUCCAGUGACCGUGGCUAUCACUGGGAGGUUUUUGGUGCAGCACCUUCUUUGCAACCAAUAUUGCCCAGCAAUAGCCAGCAACCUCCAGGAACCACUGCCAAUCAGCCAGGGAAUACACAUUUUUCCAUGUCACUGGUGGUUAUAUAACAUCCAAUAUGAUCAAGUAAUUAAGAAAAAAAAAAAAAGAUUAGACAAUGAAACAAGUCUGUACAGGAGAAAAGAGACUAAGUGGUCUGGGACGUUUUCAGUGAUUUACCCACAGUGGCUCGGUUAAAUUAAAACACAUCGGAAGACACGAACACCAAAAACGACUUCCUCGCUGUUGCAGGGAGUGUAAAAAGGGUUGUUGCACUACCAAAGGAUCUUAUGUGGAAAAUAGACUCCUGCAAACAACCUUUUUGCACGUUGUCAACAGAGGAAAUUGGCAGGGUGAAGGUGCAAGCGGGAAAAGGGUGUCUGCCUGUUGCAGCAUUGUUAGUGGCUCUGCUUCUAUGUAAAAUGAGCAUGUUCAAGUGUAUGUACCUCUCAUUUUCAAGGACUUUGUGUUGGAGCACUAUGUUAAAAAAAAAAAAAAAAAAGUGUUUUCUCUUGUUUUUUUAAUUUAUUGGCGUGUGACUAUGUCAUUACAAACUGUAUCCACAUCCUCACCUGCAUUACAUCCGCAGCAGUCUGAAGCAGCUUGAAGUCGUUUCCCCUCCUCAUCAUUUCCUAUCUCGGCUGAACAGUGGCUCCAGUUUUGGCUCCAGACGGAGCUGCAAAGCCGCAGGGCACCCAGCGGUUGCUCAGUAGUCAGUGUAGAUCCUGUGGGGCUGGCAGCAGCUACAUCUGGCUACUGGGUCUCUGCUGACAGCCGCCUUAUUCUGAAUACAAUCUUUAGGUGAUUUUUAAUAUAUUUUGCUCUUCUUCUUUUUUUUCCCCACUGGCAUUUGAAAUUCCUUAUCAGCAGGAUUAGUGUAUUAUUUCCUGUUUGUUUUCUGUGUAGCUUACACCCUUUUCCUGUGAUCUCCUCUACUACGCACCUUUUAAAUUUCUAAGAAGUGUCUCGAAUAACCACCCACUGGGUGGAAAAAAGCCUCAGGCGGAGUUGAUCCGAGGCCAUGCGGGGACUGUAGAGUUUGUUUCUCGAAUAAAAGUAAGAGAAAUUCUGAGAACCUGGUUAAGUUCUGAACCUGGCAUACAGUGUAGGAAUCUGUGUGUGUCAGUCUACAGCUACAUUGUCUGCUGGGUUUCAGGC
ensembl:lncRNA